rnacentral:rRNA from 1 species
GAUGAACGCUCGCUACAGGCUUAACACAUGCAAGUCGCGGGGCAGCAUGGGGGUUGCUUGCAAUCCCCGAUGGCGACCGGCGCACGGGUGAGUAACGCGUAUCCAACCUGCCCUUCACCACGGGAUAACCCGGCGAAAGUCGGACUAAUACCGUAUGUUGUCCAUUGACGGCAUCCGAUUUGGACGAAAGGCUUGGCGGUGAGGGAUGGGGAUGCGUCCGAUUAGCCAGACGGCGGGGUAACGGCCCACCGUGGCUACGAUCGGUAGGGGUUCUGAGAGGAAGGUCCCCCACACUGGAACUGAGACACGGUCCAGACUCCUACGGGAGGCAGCAGUGAGGAAUAUUGGGCAAUGGGCGUAAGCCUGAACCAGCCAAGUAGCGUGCAGGAUGACGGCCCUAUGGGUUGUAAACUGCUUUUAUGCGGGGAUAAAGUGGCCCACGUGUGGGCUUUUGCAGGUACCGCAUGAAUAAGGACCGGCUAAUUCCGUG